GCGGAAUGCUUAACACAUGCAAGUCGUGCGGUAACACUUCGGGUGACGAGCGGCGGACGGGUGCGUAACGCGUGAGAAUCUACCUUUUAGUGGGGGACAACUCGGGGAAACUCGAGCUAAUACCGCAUAUGUUCUAUGGAAUAAAGCAGGGGACCUUCGGGCCUUGCGCUAAAAGAUGAGCUCGCGUGAGAUUAGCUUGUUGGUGAGGUAAAGGCUCACCAAGGCGACGAUCUCUAGCUGGUCUGAGAGGAUGAUCAGCCACACUGGGACUGAGACACGGCCCAGACUCCUACGGGAGGCAGCAGUGGGGAAUAUUGGACAAUGGGGGCAACCCUGAUCCAGCAAUUCCGCGUGUGUGAAGAAGGCCUGCGGGUUGUAAAGCACUUUCAGUAGCCAAGAUGGGAUUAUUCGCUAAUAUCGAAUAAUCUUGACAUUAACUACAGAAGAAGCACCGGC
rnacentral:rRNA from 1 species